UACGGAGGGUGCGAGCGUUGUCCGGAAUUAUUGGGCGUAAAGGGCUCGUAGGCGGUUUGUCGCGUCGGGAGUGAAAACACACAGCUUAACUGUGUGCUUGCUUCCGAUACGGGCAGACUAGAGGUAUGCAGGGGAGAACGGAAUUCCUGGUGUAGCGGUGAAAUGCGCAGAUAUCAGGAGGAACACCGGUGGCGAAGGCGGUUCUCUGGGCAUUACCUGACGCUGAGGAGCGAAAGUGUGGGGAGCGAACAGG
rnacentral:rRNA from 1 species